AGAGUUUGAUCCUGGCUCAGGAUGAACGCUGGCGGCGUGCCUAAUACAUGCAAGUCGAGCGGAAAGGCUCCUCCAGACUAUUUAAGCGAGAGUUUGAAUAGUGCGGUGGAGUACUCGAGCGGCGGACGGCUGAGUAACACGUAGGAACGUACCCCAAACUGAGGGAUAAGCACCAGAAAUGGUGUCUAAUACCGCAUGUG
rnacentral:rRNA from 1 species